UUAAAUUAAUAUAGGUUCCGCAGACAGCAGGUGGCUUUGCCGUAAAUCCUGCCGAGGAUAAAAUGCAAAUUUAUUGCAAUAUCUCCCUGUGUGUCUGCUUGAUGCAUAGGGUUUUUCAUUG
rnacentral:sRNA from 1 species